UGCUUUACAAAUAAAAUAAAAAUAAGUCGUGGUCAUUUAUUAACUUUAUGUUAAAUGUGAAAUCAUAGAAUAUCAUCCAUCACGAUUCAAACGUUAAAAAAAGCACUUAAUGCUAGAUGUUUUACUGCUUUAAAACUUACAAAGUCGGUGACUAAGACUUCGAUAAAAAUUUCCACGUAUGCAACGUAUAUUGAUGCGUAUAUAAUCCAUUCAGUGGCUCGAAUCAUUCAGUGUUUUUUAAGUUUUCAAAGCGAUACUUUGUAGUUCUUUAAAACUUACAACAAAAUGCAUUUAUUGUAUUCGUCAGCUAUCGUGAUAUGGACGCUAUUUACACUCCAAUCUAUAAGCCAGAUAGCGGUAACUUCGUGUGGCCCAUCACCGG